UACGUAGGGGGCGAGCGUUGUUCGGAAUUACUGGGCGUAAAGGGCGCGCAGGCGGCUCUGAAAGUCAGAUGUGAAAGCCCCGGGCUUAACCUGGGAAUUGCAUUUGAUACUCUGGAGCUUGAGUACGGGAGAGGAGAGUGGAAUUCCCAGUGUAGAGGUGAAAUUCGUAGAUAUUGGGAAGAACACCGGUGGCGAAGGCGGCUCUCUGGACCGUAACUGACGCUGAGGCGCGAAAGCGUGGGGAGCAAACAGG
rnacentral:rRNA from 1 species